CACAUAUUUACUCUUUAUGUAUAUAUAUAUAUGUGUGUGUGUGUGUGUGUGUAUACAUAUACAUCCACAUCUAUAUCCAUAUAUAAGUAAGAUUUAUA
rnacentral:miRNA from 1 species